CUAUCAGCUUUCGACGGUAGGGUAUUGGCCUACCGUGGCAGUGACGGGUAACGGGGAAUUAGGGUUCGAUUCCGGAGAGGGAGCCUGAGAAACGGCUACCACAUCUAAGGAAGGCAGCAGGCGCGCAAAUUACCCAAUGAAAACAGUUUCGAGGUAGUGACGAGAAAUAACAAUACAGGGCAUUUUAUGCUCUGUAAUUGGAAUGAUGGGAAUCUAAAACCCUUUCAGAGUAACAAUUGGAGGGCAAGUCUGGUGCCAGCAGCCGCGGUAAUUCCAGCUCCAAUAGCGUAUAUUAGAGUUGUUGCAGUUAAAAAGCUCGUAGUUGGAUUUCUGUCGUGGUCUUCCGGUUUCGCCCGUACGGGUGUUGACUUGGUUAGCCCUCGGCAUUCUUCCGGUCCCUUCCCCGCUUCAUUGCGUGGUAGGUUCCUCCGGAACUUUUACUUUGAGAAAAAUAGAGUGUUUCAAGCAGGCUUUCGCCUUGAAUACUUCAGCAUGGAAUAAUAAGAUAGGACUUUGGUUCUAUUUUGUUGGUUUCUAGGACUAAAGUAAUGAUUAAUAGGGACAGUUGGGGGCAUUCGUAUUUAACUGUCAGAGGUG
rnacentral:rRNA from 1 species